UCGAUCUCUAUCUAUAUCUAUAUCUGUAUCUUUCUCCAUAUCCAUAUUUCUCUCCUUUUUACAUCUUUACUCUUUUAUUCCAAACUCUAAUUAUUACAGCUGCUUUAUCGAUUCACUCCUUUUUGGGACUUCUGCAGUGCAUCUUAAAAAGCAUUGUUUUUUUUGACCGAUGGAUUUGGAAAUGGCGGAUUCUUCUAGGGUUUUGAGUUCAAGCUUAAUUUCUGUUACCCCUUAGGUAACCACUUUCAAUUUCAUUGAUCCAUCAUUAUUUUUUGGUUUAAUUAGUUUGAUUUUUGUGUACAUCUUUAUGGAAGAACAGAUGGGAGAUUAUCAUAAAAAUUUCUGAAAUUUCUACGAAGACUGCACAUAUUUUUAUGUGUAAAAAAUAUACACAUAAAAAUUUCUACAAGGAGGCAAUCCUGUUAGGAUAUUUACAAGUCAGGCACAGACGCCGAACUACUGUUCCUCUACGUAUGGAAUCUCUUAUACAUCUUUUCAGCAAUAGUGUUUAAUAAUUGCUUUAGGUUUAUUUCUCUAGAUUUGUUUACUGAUCAACGUUGUUAAGAUAAUUGCUCAAUUUAAAGUCCAAAGGAAGGUUAUUUUACAGAUGAUAUGGCUUAAUCGAUAUACUUGUUUAGCUGUUUGAGUAUUUCUGUUUUUUAUCAUGUGUGAAUGUUAAGAUUUAAUUUUUGAGAUAAAUUUGGUUUGAAUUUAGAGAUAGGUCAUUAUAUUAUUUUGUAUAAUUAUAUUUUUAUAUUUUCUCACAAGAUUUCCGUAGGAUUUCGUGACUAUUUUGUAAUUAGGUUUUUUUGAUCUUUGAAGCUACAUUUUAGUUGAAUUUUCACCGACACACUACUCAACGUCCAUAUAAUAACCUGAUGCUUUGCUUUUCAUGAUCUGUUCUUGGCUUGUUGAUAAUUUUUUUUCUCAAGUUUAUUUCUUUUUAUGUCAUACAGCUCUAGCGCUUCUUUGCUAGCUGAAAAGUGAAUAUUUUUUUGGGGCAACUUCUAAAUUAAUGAAAAUUAUCUCAUUUUAUUGUUUGUUUGAUUCUGUUCAUUGUACAACCAUUAUGUGUGGUGUUUUAAUUUCUGAAUUUAAUUUGCCACAAAUUUUAGUGCGGCAGUCAUUGAUGAGGCUGGAGAUAUUUAAAUUUUAAUGGUAAGAGGGGGCAUUUGGUCCACUCAGAGCUUGCGGUGUAGAAAUUUAAGUCUCUCAGCUUCUAUUUUCAAGAGUUGGGGCUUCUUUUGAAUCAAUGUCACCGCUCUUCUAUUUUUCUUGAUAAUUUUGGCAUUGUAUUUGCACAAUGCCAUUUAGAAUAAUGGAUCAAAGGGAUGCUAGUAUGCCAUUUUCUUUCUGAG
rnacentral:lncRNA from 1 species